rnacentral:rRNA from 1 species
UACGAAGGGGGCUAGCGUUGCUCGGAAUCACUGGGCGUAAAGGGUGCGUAGGCGGGUCUUUUAAGUCAGGGGUGAAAUCCUGGAGCUCAACUCCAGAACUGCCUUUGAUACUGGCGAUCUUGAGUCCGGGAGAGGUGAGUGGAACUGCGAGUGUAGAGGUGAAAUUCGUAGAUAUUCGCAAGAACACCAGUGGCAGAAGGCGGCUCACUGGCCCGGUACUGACGCUGAGGUGCGAAAGCGUGGGGAGCAAACAGG